CGUUGCCCCCGCCGCCAUCCUUGUCUGCCAGCUUUACAAGGCAACAGGUAUCUAUGAGAUUCUAGGGAAAGUUGUGUUUUUAUCAUAAUGACUAAAAAUUAAAAACAAAAUCAUAUGCAUUUUUGUGUGUGUCAUUAGUGUUAUCAAUAGAAAUUUUACUAUAGUAAUAUGGACAAGGACAAGGUUUUACUCGCAAUUGCAUUUCAUCACACAAUUUUUGACAUGGAAGGAAAUCCCAGAUGAAUUCCGCCGUGUCAAGGUUUGAAGUUGUGAUCGUAGUUUCUGGUUGAUCAUGAUUUUUGACAUUGCAAGAAAUUGGUGAUGAAUGUAUCUGAUGUGGUUACCAUCGUAGUUGUGGUUAUUUAUAGCCUAAAAUUUUGUAUGCUGUGACUGAAAUAACAGUUGCGGAAUUCUUUGAAACCUUGAUUUGAGGAGUAAAGUUUUGUAUUAAAUAUAUUGACAAGGAAUGAUACCAAUAAUGAUUCAACCGCUGAAAGGGACUAAAUAAUAUAUUUGAGGAAUCAAAUUGUUUAUAAGUUUGAAGUUCUAUAGGUAAAUUUGUUUGUGAGAAACCUAUAUUUUUGAACCUAUUUAUGUAAAUACUAAUUUUUCCGAAGGGUCUCUUCAUAUGGUCAAGUAGUGGACAAAUAAAUUACUCUUUUUUUAAUGGAAAUUGCGGUUGGGUGUACCGGAAAUCAUUACUGGAGCCACGCGUUAAAGUGUUUUUCUUUUUCACAUAAACUUCACAGUUUCGAUUCACAAUUAUUUGUUAGCACUUUUUCCUUUUAGGCUUAAAAGUAAUUAAGUUGUCACUUUACCUAACCUCUUUUUGUUGUGGUUGUUGUCGUGGAUGAUGAUUGUGGUUGGUUUUCUUUGCAGUCGAAUGAUUUGAAUGGUUCGACGCCGAAGAUGGAGGGGCGGAUUAUUUACUACCAUAUUG
rnacentral:lncRNA from 1 species